UACGUAGGGUGCAAGCGUUAAUCGGAAUUACUGGGCGUAAAGCGCGCGUAGGCGGCUUUGCAAGUCGAGUGUGAAAUCCCCAGGCUUAACCUGGGAACUGCAUUCGAGACUGCAUAGCUAGAGUAUGGGAGAGGGAAGUGGAAUUUCAGGUGUAGCGGUGAAAUGCGUAGAUAUCUGAAGGAACAUCAGUGGCGAAGGCGGUUACCUGGACAAUUACUGACGCUCAGGCACGAAAGCAUGGGGAGCAAAAGGG
rnacentral:rRNA from 1 species